CUUAAAGUACUGCUAGCUGUAGAACUCCAGCUUCGGCCAGUCGCCCAGUCACACUGUCCUGUCCUGUCCUGUUACUGAACACUGUUCUAUGGUUAGUUUUGCAGGUUUGCAUCCAGCUGUGUGAUAUUCUGCUGUGCAAAUCCAUGCAAAACUGACUGUGGUAGUGAAAAGUCUGUAGAAAAAGUGAGGGAAAAUCAAACCCCUUUCUACACAGGUUGGGAUCGGUUGCAAUGCUGUGUUUCUGUAUGGUAUUGCACUUGUCCCGGCCUGUUGAGUUUGGUGGGGAUUGUGACCAGAAGACUUUGAAAAUUAAGUAUUGCUGAAGAUUGUGAUUUCCACUGUAAAAUGUUCGAGAGAUUUGAAAUGUUUAAAAGAACUUGGGUAGCUUAUGUAGAACAUGUACAACUUUUUGUUUCUUGAAGUUAAGUAUUGUCUUUUAUACUAAAACAUUUGAAAAGUUUUAGUUAGAUAUAAUUUGGCUGUCAGGUAUUCCAGUAUGAUUGUACAGGAAAUUUAUUAUAAAUGUAUGGCAAUCUGUAAAGUCAGAAUAUUCCUUUUUGUUUUCUUUGGACCUAGUGUUAAUCCAGGAUGCUUUAUUCAAUCAAAAAGUUAAUAAAUUAUGUCACUUAAGAAUAUUUAAAUGGCUAAAAAUACCGUUUAAAUCCUUAUGUGAAUUUUUUUUUAAAGCAUGGCUGGAGUGUUUCCAGUAACCAGAUACUAUUGUGUGAAUACAUGUGUUCUUGAUGUGCAGUGGUUCUAUAAGUGGUUCUAUACUAGUUUUUUUUGUUUGUUUUUUUGGCAGUUGUUAAUGAUUUAUGUCUUGCCAAGUGACCUAGGGACCUCAGACUGUUCUGCCUUGUGGGACCUAAAAAGUGGGAACGAAAAAGAUAAAGAACAAUAUAGAUGCUAAAUGUUGUGAUAAGUAUUUAUUUUGUGCACAUGCUUCCUUAAUACCAAGUGUGCUGCAGUGGAGUGAAAAUCUGAAAUUAGUUUUUCUCCAAAUCUGCAGUUAAUAUUUACUGAACUUUGGCAACAAUGAGUUUAUUCCAGGUUGGUGUGAUUUCUGUCCCUGGAGUGGAAUCUUAAGAAGUGAAGUUUAACUUUUUAUUUGACGUUUCUGCCAUUUCCCUUUUGUCCAGGAGUUUUGUCUUUGUUUAGACUAUAUUUUUUAUGUGUUUUAUUAAAAAUGGCUUGUCUUAGUAGAUUGAAAAGGACCAUUUGCUAAAAAUUGGACUUGAGAUCCAGGGACCCUUUAAGCUUUGCAAAAUACUGUAUUUUGGAGGAAGUUGCUAUUUCAAUAAUACAAAGUAAAGUUCAGUAACCUUAGUAAUUACACCACCUGAUAAAAUAGAUAACAUUUUUUAAAGUACAUUGGGUGAAGUCUUAAGAAAAGUUUUCAUCUCUAAUGUAUCUCUAAGAAAUUUUAAUUCUUGAAUAGACAGGUAAUUAUUUGACAGUUCUGGAGUUAAUUUCUAAGCUAGAUUUUUCAGAAAGAAAAAAGUCAAAAUAUAUAAUGGUUUAUUUAAAAUCUAAUAGUUGACCUGAAUUCUUGAACCUUUUGUAUUGAUGGAAAUGUAAUUGUUUCAGUUUGGCUAUUUAAUGAAAAACAUUGCUUUAAAUUUUUAAAAAUUCCAUGUUUUUGGUGCUUUGGAAAAAGGUAUGCUGUGGCAUUUGUGUCUGUUUUAAAAGCUUGAUUAUACUAGCACCAUUUUUUUAAAAAAUGGAACCUGUGAUGAGCCUGCUGAGGAUGGUUUCUUAUGCUAGCACAUAAGUCAGAUUUCAACGGAGUUUUAAAUGGUUAACUCCCUGGAUGCUGAACCUGUAUACUUAACUGUUCAGAACUUCCUUGGACUUGGAUUAAGAUUUAAUUCUAAUGAACAAGCUAAUAAAUGAAUAUGUUUAGUGUGGUUGGCAGUAUUGUGUAGAGUUUAGAGAUUUUGUUUCUGGUUAAGUGUACAACAUUUUACGUUGGAUCUGUUAAGAUUUUUUUCCCCUUGGGUAUGAUAAUAUAUACUAGCAAACAAUGUAAGUAUAAUUUAAAUGUAGCCAUCUUAAGAUACCAAUACUUGAACAAGUUGAUUACUGACUCAUCUGUAAUUAACCUGGGGAGAAAACAUCUUUGACCUGAGGCUUACCAGUGCUUUUUGGCUUUGACAGCCUGAAAACUUCUGAGAAAAAAAGGAACUUAAUGUGCUUUUGCAGGCUGUGCAUGUACAUGUCUUAUUUUUAGUCUGCAUAUAGAAGGCUAUCACUUAACAUUCUAUUUAACGCUGUUUAUAAAGUAUCAGACAUUCACUAAAAACUCUGGAGUCUUUGUUUUACAGGCAAGCCUGUCUUAAGCACAACAAACCAGACUUUGGGUUUUUCCUGUGCAUAAACUUGAAGAGUUCUUCAUACUGAUUCCUGACAAAUUUUGAACUGAAACUGCCUGGAGAAUAGUUUGGUGUACAUUAAAGUUUAUUGUAAAUCUAAUGAAAUACUGUUCUGUUAGUAACUGAGUAAUUGACUACUUUGUAGUUUGUCUAAUAUUGGAGGAUUUUGAGAACUCAGCUGAGCAGUAAAGGUAAGAAGAUCUCCGUAUACAAGGUUCAUUUUGGGUGUCUGACGGGAAGUAAAAGCAUGAGUUUCUAGAGUACUGUAUUCUUCGGCUUAGAGAUGUUUUAAUAGUUUACUCUUUUUUUUUUAAAGCUAUGUUAUAAGUACAUUUUUUUUUAAUUUAUUUAUUUAUUUGGUACUAGGGAUUGAACUUGGGUCCUUGCGCUUGCAGAGCAGGCUGCGGAACCAGUGAGCUAAAUCCCUGGCCCCUAUAGUUUAUUUCUACUCAGUCUGAACUAAUGUAAAUUUCUCAUUUGGUAGAUAAAACUCAUUGUAUUUACUGAGUUUUAAAAAAUUACUAGGAAAAUGCAUGUACUCUAUGGAUUUAAGACCCUAGGAAAUGUUGUCAAAGGCAUUUCCAAAUAACCUGAAUACAGAAGCACAGCACUUAGGGAUGCCUGAUUAUGAAUUUAGAAUUUGGUCAUGCUGUUUGAGUUAUUUUAGGGCAAUUAAUAAAAUACUCCAUUUGAAACUGUUUGUUUAAAAAUUACCCAUAAUGAGCAUAUUGGAAUAAAAAGGUUAUUUUUCUGAUGCUGUUUUUUUGUUUUGUUUUGUUCUUAUAAGAGUCUAAAAUUUAAUUGAGGAAGUGGGCAUAGGUACCAGAGUUAAUCUAUACCUAUUUAGUUAAAUCUAGUAAGGUAUCAAGUAAUUCUUAAGUUGACAAUUGAUCUGGAUUCCUAAUAUGUAACUAUUCGAUAAUGAAUGGCUCACUUGUUAGCUUAUUUUAAAUUUGUUGAAUGACAUAGAUGCUUCAAAUCUAGUCACUUGGGAUUUUAUUAAUAACCAUUAUAUUGGCACAUCUCCAUUUUGACUAGGAUCUUAUACAUGUUACUAAGGUGUUUCAGACCCUGUGGUACACUGAAGUUGAAGCCUAGCAGGGAAGCUCAAGGUUUGUGGAAUAAUUUAAAUGCUUUUGCUACUCAUUUGGUUCUAGGGUUGAAUGUUUUCUGUAUUUAGAACAAAUUGAACGAGAUGGUAUGUUCUAAGCAAGCUUCUAAGUUCAGCAGUUUUUAAACGUUGAAAAAAAGUCACAGUAAAUCCUUUGAAAAUAAGGUACUAGAUACAGCUUCAUGAAGUAUGCUGGUGUCCAGUACUUUAAAAAACAAGUAAAUGCCAACACAAAUGUAGAUUUAGUCAUUAUAGGCCAGUUAUUUAACAUAAAGAACAAAACAAAUGGUUGGUAUCCCUUAAAUGAUAAGUAAUUAGCUGAAUGAGCAUUGCUAAGACCAGAGACCUAAAUUUAGGGGUGUGUAUAUAUUUCCUAAGAGAAUUAGCACGUGCCCAUCGUGAUGCUUGUUUACUUGUGUCAACUUCAGUUUGCACAGAGUAAAAUACAUUGAAAGCUUGAAUUCCAAUAACCUGAAAGUGAAUUUUGUACAUAGUUGAGAUUUAACUCCAGGGAGAAUACCUUUGUUUCAGGCGUUAAGACUUCAGUGCAAGAAUAGAUGAAAAUUGGAAGCCUCUUGUAAGGUAGUUUAGGUAAUGUGUCACGUAGUUUGAUCCCUCAACACAAAAGUGCAUGGGUCAGGUUCACCAAAGACUUAAAACUAGAACUUUCAGAGUAAUUAUAAAAUUACUGGGGUACAGUUUUUAACUGUACUUGGGUGAUACAAUUGAUAAUUUGAUAGUUCACAAAAUAGACCUGGACUUUUCAGUCUAGGUAUGUUAGAAUCUUUGAGCAGGCUACUGAACAGACAGGUGUUCUGAGGAAUAUUUUGAUUUUGAUAUAUACUCAGAAUAUAAUCACUACCCUGAGUUGUCAGAAAUGGCACUGAAUGUCAGAGCAACACCUUAGAGUUUGUAGGGAUGUAAGAGACUAAAUAGUUCCAUAGGCAUUCACUCCUUGUUUUAUAGUUAGCUUAUUUUGCUUGCCAUUGCAAUUUUUGGCCAACUUCAAGUUCACGUUUGUUUCUGAAUCUGCAGACUUGCUCACUAUCCAACCGUAGGUAGUAGCUUUCCCCUUACUUGGCUCUCAUACACCACACAUAUAAUGUCUUUGUGUACUAUACAUAGAUUUCCUCAGGGGUUGUUUCAGAACAAGUAAGAGGGUGAAAGAUAUAGGCUACAUUUUCCAGGUAUUGGUCCUCCAGGAUUUGAAUUCCCCUCUAAUAAAUCUUUCAAAUCUAGCCUCAGAACACUUGAAGCAAAACUCCAGAGCUAUAACAAAGCAGCUACUUUAUCUAGGAAUUAUGCUUGGAAUUCUGUCUCAUUACAUUCAUUACUGCAACUCCUAAGGAAUCUCAGUCUAAGCAACACUUGAUUGAGAAUUCCAUGCUUAUUUUUUUAACCCUCAUAAGAAUUUUGUAAUCUCUAAAAUUGUAAGUUAUGCAGUUUCUGCCAUGUCCGAAAUAUUACUAGUGUGUAGAAUGCUUAAACCUUCAAUAGGGCCCAUGAAUGAAUUUCCUAGAAUGAGAGGUUGAGGGGAAGGAAGCAGCAAAAGUGAGAUCAGAUUCUAAUAUAUGUUUGACUUUAUGCAUGUGUAAUCAUCUUGGGGUACAUUUGACAACUUGAAGUAAUUAGUGUUAGCAGGGUUCUUGGCUUAAGUAAGUAGAAUUUAGAGUAAACAUUAAUCCUUCAGCAAAGAUAAAAGAAAGUUUCCUAAAGGUAGAAGGGUCAACAAAGAAAAUCUGAUAAUUCAAAUUAUGUGGGAAUGUAAUGGUGCUCUCUUGGGAAUACUUACCUCCUAAAUCUCACAACGCAACUGACAACAGUGAGGGCACCAAAAAUUCUGUACUUGUACAAAGAAAGGUGAAAAUACUGUACUGAGAGGCAGCAGUUAGUUUAGUAAAGUUAGUAGUUCUCAACAUGAUUAUGUUACCUGAAGUACAGGCUUUUGUUUUUUAAAUCAUGGUUCUUUGUGCUACAGUUUCAAGCUCCUGUUUUUGGUUCAGCAAGCAGUUUAACAUUUCCAUUUCCCUUGUCUAGUACAUUUACAUUUAGAAUAUCAAUACUAACCAAAACUCUUAAUUUUCCAAUAGGUUUCACUCCAAGCAGAAUUUACACAGAAGCUCUACUCUGGUGUAUGAUUAAAUUUUGAGCUGAUUGUUUGGCAAAGUUAUAUAGUAAACCAGUAACACUUGAGACAGGCUGUGUAUGUAUUAUGAGAGAAGAAUGAUAAAGGAUUGAGGAGUCCUGCUGUCACCUCAUAUUACAGAAAAUAAAGACAAGUUGAUAGGCUAGUUGAGGUCUCAGAACUAUACAUAUAUACACAUAUGCCUUAGCACAGUAGGUCUAGUCUGUGGGCUCCAAGAAUAUGUAAAUCCCAUUGUAAAUAUUCUGAGUUGCCACCUGAUAAUUGCCUAAUGGGUCGAGGAGUUUUAAGCAACUACUUAAGGAGUCUUAUUAGAGUUUAAUGUCAGGUUCUGGGUUCAAGUAUCAGUAGCCCCUGUUGGGGCAGUUUUAGUAUUCGACCCCCCAAAUUGUAAGCUCAGCUAGGCUUUUCCAUCGUGGUCAGUGGUGGCUGUCAUGAUUAUCUGGUUCACAUCAGCUGAAAGACCUUCCUUCAAAACAAAAUUUCAUCUCCACUCUGCUUGAACAAAUGUAGAUCUCUGGCCUACCAGAAGUAAGCCUGUGGGGGAGAGGUAAGAUCAAGGUUAGGCCUAAGUCUUAUGAUAAUGACUGACAGGUCCCCUUCCCCUCCCUGAAGCACACAGGAUACACAGGCAGAGUGAUGGUGCAGUUAGUAAGAGAUAAGAAUGCCCUAAGGGUUGAGGAAUAGCACCUUGGUUGACUAGACAGCAAAAAUGGAUUCUCAGAAUUGCAGGAGGGGGUUGAGAAGGUAGCCGCUGAGGCAAGCAACCAGGCUGCAGUGGUGUUCACCUGCUGUUGCUAGGUUCUCAGCUGUAAUGCUACUUCCUCAAAAAGGCCCUCCCUGAGUACCAGCCUUAUCUGAGUACCUGCCAUUUUUAUUUGGUGCACCAAGUAAAACUUUAAGUUGUAUCAAUGAUGUUUGUAUCAUUUUAUUGCCUAUUAUAUUUCAUAGUCCCACUGUAGUUAAUUACCAUAAAUUUAAACCUUAAGUUAAUGAAUUAAGGAAAGUUUUUUCAACAGUCCGUGGAAGGGGACAGAACACAAAGUGACUGGCUUAAGAAUUUUCCUCUGCAGUGCCAGUUUAAGAGGCUUGAAAAAAUGAUUGUAAGUCAAAUAUCCAGUUGCCAUUCUCUGAGUAAAAUGAUUUGCUCAGAACAGAAGGGGUGAUAGUAUACUUCUCACAUUCUCAUUCCAGGAAAAAUGUCUAGAAGUACGUAAGUCAACUAGCAGGUUAAGUCCAGAGAGGGGAAACUGAAAUAAGUGCAACCAGUAGGACGUGUGAACACUGAAGUGAAAUGAAGAUAGCAUCUGCAGAGUCUAAGGCAGUGUUUUUUUAAGUCUCAAAAUUAGCUUAAUCUGGGGCAUGAUCCUUUAGAGAAUAAAUAACACUAUUUUUUGGUUAAGAGAACAAAUGGUUUGAAUGUUUAUUUCAAAGGAAUUAGAAUUAUAUAUAUAUACUAGGACAUCAGUAGAAAAAAGGUACAUCACAAAACAGGAAAUAAGCAUUUUAAUUGAAGUUAAGCACAGAAGUUGUGUUUAUAAAUUAGUUUCUGUUUUAACUCAAGACAGUUAUACUCAAGUUCCAUAACAUACAGACAUUUUUGGCCAUUAGGAAUGUAGAGAUGAUCAAAGUCCUUGACUUUACCUUGAAAUUCUCUGGCCCAAUAGCAAGAUCAUCUGCUAAAUGCCAGAUCUUUGAAAAUGAGGAAGACAUAGUGUAUUCUUUCAAAUGAUUAAGCCUUCAUUAAGUACUUGUUGAAUGAAUUGAAGGUUUCUUUUAAAUAUGACUUGGCCAUUAAUAGAUUCUUUGAUGUAUUGCAGUAGGUAUAUAUCUGUUAACAUUUCUCACCUGAUGCCGAGUUUUGUCCAGACAGCUUGCCUUGGUGAAAAGAACAGAAAAAGAUUGUGUGUGGCAGGGACUGAGGGGCAGUGAAUAUAAAGAAAAUGCUAUCUCUGCACAUUUGUAUGUGAUGUGUAAGGAUGACAGGAGUGGCUGAAUGGGGCAGGACAGUGAUCUGGUUAAUUCUGAGAACUAGUGUGGUAAGAGAAUUCAGAACAAAUCUCAAGAAUAACAAACCUGCCUUUUAAGUAAGGAAGUGGGAAACCAGACCAUGACUUCAGGACUGCCAUUCUCCCAGAUCACUAGUCUUAGUGAUGGCAAACCUUUUCGAGCUUUCCAUGAUUGAUAAUAGUGGGCUACAGCAUGUUUGCCAUCAGUUCGCCACUACUGCCCUAUUCUAAAGGCUAUGUGUCCUCAAGGAUGUUGCAGGUAAUUUUGCGGUAAGCCUUACUAGAAUUAGUGAAAUGAAGUGGUAACUGACACUAAAUGACAGCUUACAAAGUACUACUGGAGCUCAGACAGGGAAAUGACUAAUGCAGUAAGUACUGUGUGCAUUUGGUACCCAUUACAACACACAAGUAAUUAAAAGGGACUUGUUCUCUAAAAGCGUAUGUAAAUAUAGUAAUUAGGUCUCUUUUUUUUUGAUAGUUUGGUUGUAGUGUGUUGAUCCUUGCUUAAUAUGAGGAUUCUAAUAUUGAACGUUUUUUUCCCAGCCAAAAAUGAAAUGUGCAAGUUACUACCAAGUGAAGCCAUUCAUAGUUGAUAUGACACUGCUAGUGAGUAAAUUCCUGUAUGGGUUUAUUUAUUUAUUUGAUUUGGUUUGGUUUUGCUUAUUUAGUAUUUCAGACAUCUUACUGCUAUAGAAAUGCUAUGCCUUCUUAAACUGAUGGAAUAUUAGAAUCAAAGACCUAAACACAUUUUAUUCGUUUUAAAGACCUGUGUGAUCCUGCUGAUGUUUAAAGCCAACUGUAAUAUUUUAAUCAUAGGUUUGUUUCCCAAUGGAUGCCAUUCAGAAGUAAUUUUCAUUUUUUGAAUAGGGUUAUUUGUAUUCAUUUGGUUUAUUAAAAAAAUUAAGGGACAGCAAUAUAUUUAGCAGUCAUGUAAUUCAGCUUUAAAUUACAGGUUUCUUACACAUAUCCAGUUCUGGAUAAUGAUAGGAUCUAGAAAAAAGGAAGCACUGGUGAACUUGAAAAAAAAAUUACCAGGAAAAUGCUAAAAUCAUACUUUGAAAAUACAGUGAGGUUAUGUGGGCAAUUAAUUAAAUGUUAUAUAAUGCCACCAUUUUAAACAGCUGCAAAUGACUUAGUUAUCUUUGCUCAUAAAAUAACAAUGGUAGCUAUCUACAGCACAUGAUACUAAAGUAAGAUGCUGAGGAAAAUUCCAAGAUUAGGUGGGUUUUUACACAUUUGCCAUGUUGCAAUAGUCUUAAGUGCUGCUGAUGCUAUACUUUCUUAAUCUCAUCAAAUAAUUGGGACAAGUUUGAGGAAAUCAAUCUCUACUAAAUAGUUAACCAUAAAGUAUAUUUGUAUGAGCAAACAAAAUGCUUUCAAAAUGUUGCACUUUUGAAACUGUUUGAAUCUUCUCUGUUGAUCCGACGGCUUUGUUUGCAAAGGUAGACUGAAGUGGAGUUAAGCAAUUGGUGAGCACAUUUGAACACUACAGAUGACUAUACAGGAUAAAAUGAAUAAAGUGAUUUUUAGAAAAUUUACUUAAUGACAGCAGACCUUUACUCUUCUUAGUUCCCCAUGAGUUUCUAGUCGAGUAAUUGUUGUAGUUAGUCUUACAUAUUUGCUUGCUCUAGUUCUCCUGUUCUGUUUCCUCCUCCCCCAAAAGCUUUUUCCCCCCUCUAUUGAUCUACUAUAUUUAUUGUCAGUGAUAUGCAUGUGGUAAGGAUUUUUGUCUAGUAAUUAUUAACCCUAUCCUUACACAAGUAUUUGUAUCAAGGUAAUCAGAAUAUGUUUUUAGUUUCUGUUGGAUACUUUUUACAUAUAUGGAAAACUAAGGUACAAGGGUAAUUAUUUUUUUAAAUGGUAUAGUUUGAAACAAGUGAUGAAGGCCACAUUAUUUUUUCACAGAUUCAUGAAUUUACUACCACCUGAACUUACCUGCCUGUUCACAGGGCCACAAUCUUAAUCAGAACCUUAUGUUUCCUUGUCUCAAUUCACAGUGCCUGUGGUUCCCAUGUUGUCUACUGUCUUGAAACCAUCUUAGUCUGAGAAGAAUUUUUCCUUGCCCAAGGAACAAAGUAAAGUUGUACAUAGCAAUACAUUGAGACAUUAAAAGAUUUUACCCAGUUCUCUUUACUUCCUGUGUACUUUUUUUCUGUCAGCUCUUACUCAUUCUCAUAAGUGGAAAAGAAGGAAGUUUUGCAAAAUAUCCCUUGCAGGGACGUGAAAAGAUGUGCAUAAACAAUAUAGUAAACUUAAAAGAUUGCAUAAGGAUUUGGGUAUCCCUGGAAAUCAUGGCUUGAAAAGAUCUUCAUCAUGAACAGGCAACAACUUAGUAGUGAAUUUGUAACUUGAUGUCCAAAGAUGAAAAAUGUUCCUUUGUGUGCAGAAAUUCAUUGUAGCUUCAUGUGUACAAGAUGUUGCAGAUGGAGGACAAUAGGAAAGGGCUGGAAGAGUUUGGUUUAGAAUCAUUUUGUAUAGCAAGUGGGUUAGAAAAGAGAAAGUGGGGGCUGGGAAUUAGCUCUAUUGGCUGCCCAUGAUGGAGAUUCUGAGUUCAAUUCCAAGCUGUGGGCCCCCCCCCCAAAAAAAAAGUAGUUAUGGGGGGAAGGAGUGAAAUGGAAUUAAGAGACUGUCUUAGUGGCUGAGCUCACAAGAGACAAAAGACCAUGGCUGAUUCCCAGUAAUAGGGUGUGAGUAUUGCUAAAAAGCAGUUGUGCCUCCUCCUCUGGACCUUGACAGGUACCUUAGUCCUGACUUGGUGAAAACAAAUAACAGAUUAUUCUGCUCUGCUGCAAAACUUAGAAGAAUGGGGUUUUUUUUAUAAUCUUAAAAGUCAUUUUGAAUGGCUUGAGUAAUUUUGUUACAGAAGCUGUCAUGUAGGACUUGUGUUAACUAAAGUUAAUAUGGUAGAUUACAAUUAUUUUCAAUCACUGUAUAUUAAUUUUAUCUUAACAUUUCAUCUUAACAUUAACAUCUCUAUGAGAUAUUCCCAAGUUGGGGAAGCAGGCGGGAAAGUAUACAGGUGAUCAAAUUGACAGGGGUAAAUGAGGCAGCCAAUGUGAACAUUUAGGAGGUCUGGCCAGGUGGGAUGAUGCAUGCUUGUAAUCCCAGUUAUCAGAAGGCUAAGGCAGGAGGAUUGCCCUGAGUUCAAGGCCAAGCUGAACUGCACAGUGAGACCCUGUGUCAAAAAGUCAAAAUCUAGGAAAUCUGGUUCAGGAACCAGUUUUCUUAACUGCUAUGCUGCCUUCUAGGCCAGCUUUCAUUAUAUGUUAGCAUAGUGGGAAUGUAAAAUGAUGUUACCACUGAGCAGAAAUAUUUGGGGGGUUUUAAUAUCUGAAUUUACCUAAAAAUACAAAUUCCAUUUGAUCCAGCUAUACACUACUUAUGAAUAUCUUCCCAAAAGAUUUAACCAUAAUUCUAAAUGAAAUCAGACACACAAGACUUAAAUAUCACAAUUUCUCAUAUGAGAAAUAGUAUAAGGAGCAAAGUAAAGAUAGUAGGGAAAACUAAGUUUAUACCUUUUCUCAGAUUUUGUGGGAUAAAUCACAUUUCUGUUCCAAUAAAAAGUUUAUAAAAAUUUCAGAAAGCUUUACCCUAAUAUACUCUCACCAGAAAGAGAGGUAUGCAAAGAAGUCACAACGUUAGUUCUUGAGUGGUAUUUUCAGUGAUUUUUUUCCUGUAAUUUCACUUUUAGUUUCAAACAAGUUCUUUUAAAAUAAAAAUUCUGUGUUGGUUUUUUACGUUAAAAUCAGUCAUCUAGUCACUUUUUAGAGAAGAUGUAUUUCAAAAUGAUUGAGAAAAUGUCAGUAAAUCAACAUUCUAUUAGAUGUAAUUAAAUAAUUAUUUUCAGAGACAGCCUAGAGAACUGGGAUAUUGAGUAAUUACAUAUUGCUAAGGAUGCAGCAAUGCCAGUAUUGUCAGGAAGCCUAAAAAUGGAGUGAUGAGCUUCCUAACGCAUUUCAUUGUGUUAGCAUUAGGAUCUAAGAAAUACUUUUAAAAUGUAAUGAUACAACCUCACCUAUGACAGAUGUGAAACAAUACAUAAUGCAAAUAUCUCAACAAAUUAGCAAAAUAGGUGUCAUCACUGUGACUUAGCUCUGCUUUGGUAAAUUAAUAGACUCGAGUGAAAUAGAACACAAAUUUUUGGCAUAACUUGGAAAAGUGUAGGCAAAAUUAUCAAUAUUAGCAUUCAAAAUAGUUGUCUGCGAUAAUUUUUAGAAAAAUUACUAGUAAGACUUCUGUGAGGUAAUUUAACACAUUAUGAAAUGAUUUUCCUAGAUACAAACAAGUUGCAAAACAAAAAUUGUAAAAUAGUUAACAGUGAAAAACAUCUAGAAAAAAAUUCAGAGACACUGAGAGUGAAAGGUAGAAAUGCUUUCCAAAAUUGCCUAGGAAUUGAAAGAUGGAGGGUCAUUUUUUCCCAUGCCUUUGUGAGGUUAACCACCCCAAACUGGGUAGCAUAUGUAUAUUGAUACCUAUAGGCUUCCUUAGCCAAGGAUACAAUACAGAUACAACAAGGGAUGUUGUGUGGUGGUUUAUAUUGCUGGUCAGUGCAUAGAAUCUGUUGCCUCAGAAGUGACAAGGUGGGAUCAAGGAGAUUUAAAAUGGUGCACAAAAGGUGUCAAAUGGAACGCAGUUCCUGCACUUAUGCUUGUGUCUUGCAUUAAUCCCAGCUUAAUCACAAAAGUGCCCAUCAAAGCUGUUGCCGGGCAGAAUCAUGACACUGUAAAAAAGAAUUAGCUGCUCCUCCAGCUUUUGUCAUUGAUACUCAGCCUUUCCUUCACCAUCCAUUCCUUCUAGAUUCCUAGAUCUCUGCCUUACUAGCAUUUCUGUUUCAGUUACUGAUAGGUGGUACUACCUGGACACUGAAACUUGAGACGGGCUCCUUGCCAUAUACUUUCUGGCCUUCCGCUACUCCAGUUUUUCAUUAAGUGAGCAUAAAAAGUAUAGAUGUAGCCUGGUGAGUCCCCUGAGCUCAGUAAAAACUGCCUCUUUUUAUACCUGUUACUCUAGCUCAUGGUUAUCAGGACAAGUCGUAGUCACCAUAACAGUACCACCUCCCACUCUUAAUUGUUCCUUCAUGAAGGAGGCCAAAAUUAUUAGGUGGUAAUUGUAGCAUCAAAUUAAUUUCAUCAAGUUCUUUGCAUACUCAUAAUGAAACCAUUUCUUGUCCCCUACUUACAGACCAGGACCUCAGAUACGGAAGACCUAAAGUUUCAGAGCUAGGGAGUACAGAUUCUGCAAAUAGAUCGCAAGUAAUGGUUUGAGAGAUUCUCGGACUGAGCAGUUACUGGAUCCUCCAGCUCUUGAGCACACAGAUGGCCAUCAUGGGCUUUCACUUCUGAUCCUUCUUGUUUUAACACAGAUGUAUGCUGCUUGUGAACCAGUUUUGAACAUGUAGUCAAGGAGAGACUUUGGGAGUGGUUGAAGAACCCACAUAGAAAACCUGGGUUGCUGAAUGUGCCCUUGUGAAGCAGAGACUCCUGGAUUGCUUGCUUGCUUCUCGAAUGAUGUGUAAAAGAAUAAUAAAACUCCUCACUUUUUGUGUGUGUGUGGUUUAUUUUUUUUUGAGCUAGUCUGUUCCUGGUCUUUUUGUUACAUCAGCUAACCUGUUCUCUAACACUGUUGUUGUCACAUUUGUUUCAAAUGAUACGUAUUUCUUUCAAAUCUGACAUGAACUUUUACAGUGUUUCUUUCCCUUGAGCCUUCUUCUACCAUUUUUUUUUCCAGGCAGAAGUGUUUGCAGAAAUCUUUGUCUUCAUCUCAUUACUUUUUACUGUCACUGCCAGCAGGCAGAGCCCAUAACAUAAAUGUAAAAUUGUGUUCAGUAUAUGUUCCCUUGAGUUUGUAAUUAUAAUGCAUUCCAGGGUGCACCUAAAUAAGAAUCUGCUUUUCCAACCUAAGAUUGCUUUUGGUGCCAGUCACACAGUAAAAUAUACACACAGGCAAUAGCUGUAGUAACUAACACUAAAUGAGGCUGAGCAUAGUAUAAAACAUUAUCCGUUUUCAUUGCUAAUGAUCUGGGGAGAAUUGAGAUAAUAUGGAGGCCCUAAGGGUAGAAUGGGAGAAUUCUAAGAUUUGGAGGUGUACAAAAUACUUCACAAAAUAGUAUUUUUCUUCAUCUUCAGAAGCAGCAAGUGAUUAUGAUUUAUAUUAA